UCUCUCUCCCAUGUAAACCACUGACCAGAAAAACCCAAAUCGGCAAGCUUGCAAUCCUCUAAUACCAUCCGAAAAGUCAACAUAUUAUUCUCAUUUCAAACACGUGCCCCUCUCUUCUUGAAAAAGAACACUAUCUCAUUAAAAUCCCUUAUAACUAACCAUGACAACAAGCUAUUACCAUUUAACUGAUAAAUCAAAUCCCAUGAC
rnacentral:lncRNA from 1 species